AACAGCAGCCAUAUCCCCCUGCAGCCCAAGGCUGGUUGCCCACUGAAGCUAAGCAGGGUUGAACCUGGUCAGUACCUGGAUGGGAGACCUCCUGGGAAAACUAGGUUGCUGCUGGAA
ensembl:rRNA 5S_rRNA 5S ribosomal RNA